UACGUAGGUGUCGAGCGUUGUCCGGAUUUAUUGGGCGUAAAGCGCCCGCAGGCGGCUUGGCAAGUUCGAGGUGAAAUCUCCCGGCUCAACUGGGAGGGUGCCUCGGAAACUGCCAGGCUUGAGGCAGGGAGAGGGACGUGGAAUUCCGGGUGUAGUGGUGAAAUGCGUAGAGAUCCGGAGGAACCCCAGAGGCGAAGGCGGCGUCCUGGCUCACAACUGACGCUCAGACACGACAGCAUGGGGAGCGAACGGG
rnacentral:rRNA from 1 species